rnacentral:rRNA from 1 species
UGGAACGGUGAGUGGAUGAAAGCUCCGGCGGCAUAGGAUGGGCCUGCGGCGUAUCAGGUUGUAGGGGGUGUAACGUACCCUCUAGCCCUCUACGCGUACGGGUGUUGGGAGACAUAGCCCGGAGAUGGAUUCUGAGACACGAAUCCAGACCCUACGGGGUGCAGCAGGCGCGAAAACUUGGCAAUGCGAGAAAUCGUGACCAGGGAACUCCAAGUGCAUCGGGUAAGACCGGUGCUUUUCUUGACUCUAAAUAGGUCUUGGAAUAAGGGGUGGGUAAGGACGGUGCCAGCCGCCGCGGUAAUACCGGCGCCUCAAGUGGUAGUCGCUUUUAUUGGGCCUAAAACGUCCGUAGCCGGUCUGAUACAUUCGUGGGUAAAUCAACCAGCUCAACUGGUUGAAUUCUGCGAGGACGGUCAGACUUGGGACCGGGAGAGGUGUGGGGUACGCUCAGGGUAGGGGUAAAAUCCUGUCAUCCUGAGCGGACCACCUGUUGCGAAGGCGCCACACUAGAACGGAUCCGACGGUCAGGGACGAAGCCUAGGGGCACGAACCGGAUUAGAUACCCGGGUAGUCCUAGGUGUAAACGCUGUGGACUUGAUGUUGGGGGUGCUCCGAGCACUCUCAGUGUCGAAGCGAAGGUGAUAAGUCCACUGCCUGGGAAGUACGGUCGCAAGGCUGAAACUUAAAGGAAUUGGCGGGGGAGCACCGCAACCUGAGGAUUGUGCGGUUUAAUUGGACUCAACGCCGGGA